UACGUAGGGUCCGAGCGUUGUCCGGAAUUACUGGGCGUAAAGCGCGCGUAGGUGGUUUGUUAAGUUGGAUGUGAAAGCCCCGGGCUCAACCUGGGAACUGCAUCCAAAACUGGCAAGCUAGAGUACGGUAGAGGGUGGUGGAAUUUCCUGUGUAGCGGUGAAAUGCGUAGAUAUAGGAAGGAACACCAGUGGCGAAGGCGACCACCUGGACUGAUACUGACACUGAGGUGCGAAAGCGUGGGGAGCAAACAGG
rnacentral:rRNA from 1 species